GGAUUGAUCCUGACCCCUUGACACUCAGCAUUCCUCCUGUCUGCAAAAGCUGGCACACUUCAGCACACAAAAAAGGCGCUGUAUUUCCAUCACCAAAUGGCAUUUCCCCCCUUCCAGCCUCAUACUCCUGAUUUUAUAUGAUGUAAAAUACUUUUUAAAAUUAUUUUUAGAUGACAAACCUCUGUUUCAAACUACUUUUGCUUUGCCCACCCUACCUCCAAAUUACAUAAAUCGUAUUAACAGGCACUUCACUACAAGAUACAAACUCCUGGGAAUUCUGAACCAACUAAGACGUCUUAAAUAUCUAUCGGGACUGGAUACAUUUGAAUCACCACCAGCAGCCCUGGUAACAAGAAAGGAGCUGUUUUAAAACCCACAGGAGUUCAGAAGAAACUGCAUAUGUUCUCUAUGAAUAGAGAGAGUGCCUAUUUACCCUGAAAUACUUGGCACAAUGAAGUGAGGCUGAAGUGUGGAAGAAGUGUCUCUUAUUUCCCACUGCCUGCUUGCAGCUGUCAUCGCAGGAAGGAUGGCUUCCCAAUCCGGCAUCAUUUGUCUGUGCAGUGAUGUCAUGUUGAUUGACCCCAGCUUUAACACAAUGAAUGCCAGCAUGUUGACUUUUGACCUGUUUAAGUAUGCUUGUGUUUAUUGAGACAGACAGAGUUAAUGCACUUUGUUAGGCAAAUUGAAGUCUAGUUGAUGGAUAUUUUUAAAAAGAUGUUUGCAUAUAACCACUCCCUCCUCCCACACUUUCACACUUGUGAUACAGCAACAUGGAAUUACAAUUUUACUAAAUUCAGAAAGUGAUCUCAUCUCUUCUACUGAAUUUUAACAGACUGAAUCAGUCCAAUUCCAUUAUAAAUAACAUCAGUCGCAAAUGGUUAUUUAUGUUAUCAACAAUUCACACUCUGGGCCUAAUUUUCAAAUAUAGUGGCCUUUAUGAGAAACCUUAAUCCUACUUUUGGAUGCUCAGAUUGAUACUUGGGCUAAAUUCUGUCCUCAGAUACAUACAGCACUGGCUUGUUGCUUUUCUGAGGGCAACAUUUGACCUUUAGGCAUGUUAAUGGCCAUUCUAUAGACCCUAUCCAGUUUUUAUGGAAACGAAUGGUAAUCUUUUAUUAACUUUAAUGGGAGUUAGACUGGGCUGUAGUACUGAGGUGCUGAUCUGAAUGCCCAAAUGCAAGAUUUGAUUGUCCUGUUUAGACACUAGCAUAUGAAAUUUGGGUCAGUUAUGUGGUAGCUGAUCUGUGAAGAGUGGUGAAAUGAUAAACAUAAUCUCUCCUGUGUGUGUGUGUAACUUCCAUUAAUGUCACUGGGGAGACUGGGUAUGUGUGGAGGGGAGAAUGUACCUCAAAAUCUCUCUAAUUUAAAAAUCCAAUAUUCUAUAUUGUACUGCAAAAGUGUAUUUAUCUUCUGGCACUCCUCUUUGCCUUCAAAUUAAGGUUCUUGGCACUCCUCUUUGCCUUCAAGUUAAGAUUAUACCAUUGCUUCUGCUAAAAAUCCCAAUUUUUCAUAAAGAAAGUAUAUCUUUGCUAUUUAAAAAAAUCCAGAGGAAUAGUUAUGGUAAAUAUUACAUUUCCAAACUUCUGAAGCUUCCCAAAAUCCAUAUUUACCUAAAGACUGUGAUGACCCCAGUACUGGGUAAAUAAUAUGCAUACCAAACUAUGUAUAACAUGCAUACCAAAAUGCAAAUGUAACCAGGUAAACAGACUGCCUUUUAAAAAUGCCUAAAUAUGGUAGGAGAUCAUCAGAGAGAGGCUCUAGACAUGUUUCAUAGCUUUCUGUGUAAGAAUUUUUUUCAGAGAAAUAAUUUUUUUAUUAAACAAAAACCUAAGAAGUUCAUUGACAGAAAAAGUAUGUUUUAAAGUAACAAAACACCAGAAAGCAGGAAAUCCAAAGUGAAGGGCCAAGUCUGUCCUUAAUUCAAAUCACAUAAUGGGCCAAAUACAGCUGUCCUCAUCCAUCUGUUGUUCAUUGUCUUCAGUAAGAGUUUGGCUGCAGGACUAAUUCUGUGCUCCCUGUGUAAAUUGGGAGUAACCUCACUGGAAUCUAAGAUGUUUCAUCAGUGUAAAUAUGCCCAGAAUCCAACCCUGCAGAAUUUGGCUUCAUGUUGUUUUAUUUCUUUCACUGUUUAUAAAUGACUCAUCAAGUGUGUGUAUGUGUGUGUGUGUGUGUACAUGUACAGGGGAGGAAGUAAAGUGGAAAUAGGGGCUUCUUAUAACAUUACGCUUCUCUUUCCUUAUUAUAUAAUAGGCUAUAUCCUUAUUGAUGAACAGUAUGUCAUGGUUUGAAGAACUACAUCUUGGAGUUGAUUCAUAAAAGGUUAAAAUGCACUAAUAUUGAGUUAUAUACAGGUGUUUAUACAGCAAAUGCUUUUUAGCCAGUAUAUUUUUUCUGGUGAAAUGAAGAAUUCACUAUGUUGGCAGCACAACCCUAUUGACACAGCUAUACCCGGUAUGUGUGUGCCUACAUCAGCUUCAGUUGGUACAGUUCCUUUGGUUAAGUCUUGUAAAAUGUACAGGUGUGGAUAUGCUACAUUCCUUCCCUUAUGUUUUUCCUUUUUUUUUCCUUCCCCCCAAAAAGUUCACUUGAUCAAGUAUCAGACAUACUGAAACCUGGCAGGACUACAGGAAAGUGGCUAGACUUGGAGUGUUUGUGUACUUAAAGAAGGAAUCUUGCACAUUUUCAACUUUCAGUCUCAGAUAUUUUCUUAUAAGAGCAAUUGGAAGUCUGAGCCAGCCCUCAAAGCGGAAAUCAAUAGCUCCCAGAGAAACAUACCCAAGGAAUGUGAAUCUGAUCCAGGAACCAUACGCAAUGCACAUACAGUACUGUCUUCCUUAUAGGAAGUCUGGCCGUAUAUGGACAUGUGUACCCUGAGCUAUUUUUCAUCAUGAUGGUCUUGUAGUUGGCUAUAGACAUUUCUAGUUUGCCUCAGGUUUAACGAUGUACAUUAAUUUCCUUCCCCAAAAGCCCUCCAGAAUAUUUCUUAAAUUGUAAUAAAUAUUAUCCUAAAAUCCUAAGGGAUCCAGUUAAACUUACAGCAACAUGUAUUUGUUUAAAAUAAAGACUUGCUGUGCUACUGCAGAAGUGGAAAUGAAGUAAAAAUAAAAAGCUCUACUCUGUCUUGAA